CGGGUGAGUAACACGUGGAUAACCUACCUAUAAGACUGGGAUAACUUCGGGAAACCGGAGCUAAUACCGGAUAAUAUAUUGAACCGCAUGGUUCAAUAGUGAAAGACGGUUUUGCUGUCACUUAUAGAUGGAUCCGCGCCGCAUUAGCUAGUUGGUAAGGUAACGGCUUACCAAGGCAACGAUGCGUUAGCCGACCUGAGAGGGUGAUCGGCCACACUGGAACUGAGACACGGUCCAGACUCCUACGGGAGGCAGCAGCU
rnacentral:rRNA from 1 species